rnacentral:rRNA from 1 species
UACGUAGGGUGCGAGCGUUGUCCGGAAUUACUGGGAGUAAAGAGCUCGUAGGUGGUUUGUCACGUCGUCUGUGAAAUUCCGGGGCUUAACCUCGGGCGUGCAGGCGAUACGGGCAAUACUUGAGUGCUGUAGGGGAGACUGGAAUUCCUGGUGUAGCGGUGAAAUGCGCAGAUAUCAGGAGGAACACCAAUGGCGAAGGCAGGUCUCUGGGCAGUUACUGACGCUGAGGAGCGAAAGCAUGGGUAGCGAACAGGAUUAGA